rnacentral:tRNA from 1 species
GCCCCGGUAGCUCAAAAGGAUAGAGCAGGCCCCUCCUAAGGGCAAGGUUGGACGUUCGAGUCGUCUCUGGGGCGCCA